rnacentral:rRNA from 1 species
UACAGAGGGUGCGAGCGUUUGUUCGGAAUUAUUGGGCGUAAAGCGCUGGUAGGUGGUUUGUUAAGUCGCGUGUGAAAUCUCCAGGCUCAACCUGGAAAGUGCGCGCGAAACUGGCGGACUUGAGUGCCGGAGAGGGUCGCGGAAUUCCCGGUGUAGAGGUGAAAUUCGUAGAUAUUCGGAGGAACACCAGUGGCGAAGGCGGCUCACUGGUCCAUUACUGACGCUGAGGUGCGAAAGCGUGGGGAGCAAACAGG